rnacentral:lncRNA from 1 species
AUGUAUGAAUUUUUUAUACUUUCUCUAUUGUCUCAUAAUUUUUGGUUUACCUUGGUUGUUUAUGUAUUUGUAUAUCGGUUCACUUUUCUUGUAGUAUUUUCAUUAUAUGUCGUAUUUUGUGUCCUAUAGACCACUUUGCAUUUGGAUUUUAUAUUACUUUGUCUCUAUUGUACCAUCGUUCUUCUAUUUCUCUUCCUAGAAAUCCUAGUAGUUUAUUAAAUAAUUUUUUACCUAAAUCUUGAUCAAAACUCGAGCAUUUCCACUAAUAGUACAAUAAUAACAAUAAUCAUUUAGGAAUUACUUUAUAUGAAACCAACUGCUUACGCUUAAUUGUUUU